AUGAUCUUACUUGAACAAGAUUUGUUCUAUAGGAUAGCACCACUGCAUCCUUUGCCACGAAGGCGACAAGCACAUCAGUAUGUUUGAUGAGCCAGGACCUUUGGGCCAAAGGGUGAUUGACAGCCAGGAUGCUUCGGUUUUGCCUUUUGAUGGCAGUAGAGGAGCAUCCCUUCCAGGUUUAGGCCUGGUCAGGGUGGCCCAGAGCCUCAAACGUAGC